rnacentral:rRNA from 1 species
GAUGAACGCUGGCGGCGUGCCUAAUACAUGCAAGUCGAGCGAACAGACGAGGAGCUUGCUCCUCUGACGUUAGCGGCGGACGGGUGAGUAACACGUGGAUAACCUACCUAUAAGACUGGGAUAACUUCGGGAAACCGGAGCUAAUACCGGAUAAUAUAUUGAACCGCAUGGUUCAAUAGUUAAAGACGGUUUUGCUGUCACUUAUAGAUGGAUCCGCGCCGCAUUAGCUAGUUGGUAAGGUAACGGCUUACCAAGGCAACGAUGCGUAGCCGACCUGAGAGGGUGAUCGGCCACACUGGAACUGAGACACGGUCCAGACUCCUACGGGAGGCAGCAGUAGGGAAUAUUCCGCAAUGGGUGAAAGCCUGACGGAGCAACGCCGCGUGAGUGAUGAAGGUCUUCGGAUCGUAAAACUCUGUUAUUAGGGAAGAACAAAUGUGUAAGUAACUAUGCACGUCUUGACGGUACCUAAUCAGAAAGCCACGGCUAACUACGUG